AUCUCUUCUUGGUCUUUUGGCUGAGAUCAUGUGUAAUAUCUGUUCUUAUCAGUUUAAUAUCUGAUAAUCCUUUAUUUGAAGACAAUAUAUUAAAUGGAAUUUUAGAAUGGGAUAUAAACUAGGAGCUUGCACUUUCCACUCCACACAUCAACCUGGUAUUACAGUAUCUCCAGGGACAGUGCACCCAAA
rnacentral:snRNA from 1 species